UGACAAAAUUCUAUAAGACUGUUCAUAACCUUCAAUUUUCACUAGCAGGCUACAUGAAAAGUCUUCUCUACACGUAGCCUUUUUUUCUAAUGGUGAUGUUGUUGCUUCGAAGGCCAGUUUGGUUUAUUGACCGACUUCCUGUGAUCCACUUUAUCUGAAAGGUGACAGUUUCCCUGCAGCAGUUCCCCAUCACAGGGCUUCAACUUUCCUGCUCAUAUGCGAGCCCUGUCUGUCAUGUAAUGCUAGAGCUUCUCAAAUCUCAACAACAAGAUAUCUAUGACUCAUCACCUCCUCGUACCAGCAAAACAAGUGGCUUGCCUUUUCAUUUCCAACCUUGUUACUUGACUUGCCAUUCUUAAGAACCAGAAGCUGGAAUCUGCAUGAAAAGUAAGAAAUCACAUCCAUAAAACUCGAGCUUGAUAUUUUCCCACCAUGCCAGUCUUUCGAGCUGCUGGAUGCACAGUGACGACGAUACCUUGGAUAAAACGCUAUUGAAUCCAUAUAUGGUGACAACAGUUACACAGACAAACAAAAUCUCACCAUGACAGCAUCUUUUUUGGCCAUGAUUUUGCUGGUGUCUUUUCUUUUCAAGUGAGAAAAUGCUUCGCAUACCAACAAAACCUUACCUAACGUCAUGACAUUUGAAAGAGCUUAGGGCCAAUGUACCCUCGUCAUUACCAUAUCAUCUCACGGAUCACAUUCUCAUAAACCGACACCAUACACAUAAAACAGCCGACCCAAUUCAUGUACGAAGAAAUUUUCCUAGGAUUACUCUUUCAAGGCUCUAUUGGCUCUGAAGUAAUCCCUUUUAUGUUAUGUAAAUAUUAAUAAUUAUAGUUUAAACACUGCAAAAUUUAUCUA